rnacentral:misc_RNA from 1 species
GAUGAAGAACGUAGCGAAAUGCGAUAAGUAGUGUGAAUUGCAGAAUUCAGUGAAUCAUCGAAUCUUUGAACGCACAUUGCGCCCCUUGGUAUUCCAUGGGGCAUGCCUGUUCGAGCGUCAUUUGUACCCUCAAGCUUUGCUUGGUGUUGGGUGUUUGUCCUCUCCUUUGCGUUUGGACUCGCCUUAAAGCAAUUGGCAGCCAGUGUUUUGGUAUUGAAGCGCAGCACAUUUUGCGAUUCUAGCCGAUAAUACUUGCGUCCAUAAGCCUUUUUUAACUUUUGACCUCGGAUCAGGUAGGGAUACCCGCUGAACUUAAGCAUAUCGAUAAGCGGAGGA